rnacentral:lncRNA from 1 species
GGAAUCUGUAUUAGAUAGGUAAAGAAGAAAAGGAAUGAGAGAAGAAGUAGAUAAGAUGUUACAACAAUAAUGGAUUGGGUUAGUUUAUAUAGAGAAAGAAGAUGACAAUUGAAAAUUUUUUAGAAGGAUAUUUCUGUACGAUUCUAACAGUAGGAGCUUUUGAAUGGAUAUACUUAUAAUGAAAAAAAGACAUUUCACUUAUAUUCUGUUAAAAAAUAAAAAGUGAGCUAACAGCAACAAACCAGAAAGGCAAAUAUAAAUAUCGCUGGACUUUUGAAGGGAUAAAUCUAAAAACUUGAACUUUGUA